UAGGGCUAUACGGAUU
rnacentral:tRNA from 48 species